rnacentral:misc_RNA from 1 species
ACACACUGACAUGGACGUCAAGAGGAAAGAGGAUCCAGAAAUACAAACUUUGAGACAUGAACUAGACUGGCUAUUAAGGGACCAAGUUCACAAGGUUUUGGAGGAAAUUAGUAGCAUAUUGUUGGAGUGUUCCCGACUCUUCCCUUCAAGACCUGGACAUGAUGAAAACAAAUGUAUGGUUACCUCCCAAAGACUGCUGCUGAACAGUGCUAAGUAUGUCUACUAUACUUGUUUGUUAUCAGUGAAUGGUUAAUAGCAAUAAAAAUCUUAUGUACCUAACAAAUAAAAGUUGGUUUAAAUUGGCAUUAAUUGAGAGCUGGUUAUAUACUCAGUGGCAGUAAUGGUUCCGUGAAGUGCAUGGUCACUCUGGUUGGGGAUCGGAUCUCAGAAGGGGAUAUCAGCUUUAAACACAAACAAGGCAAAGAUAACCACACAUACAAGACAACAAUUAAUCCAGAAAUUUCCUGGAAACUUCAGCAGGUCCAAGAUGCCACAAAUUUCUUGUACGGUGCCAUUAACACUAUAGAAGAACAGGAGGAAAGGCAAGGUUACACUUCCUGUACACAGGUUACACUUCUUUUGGAUAAAGUGAUUGACAGCCUUAACCAGGGUCGUUCAGCCUUGGCCUUCCCUAAAAGAAAAUCCUUAGAAGAACUGGUGUAUAACCGAAAUAUGCAAACUCUUCGCCCCUCUGUGCCAAAUGAUGUAGCUUUAAGUUUUUAUGUUCAUGCCUCCAAACUAAUUCUCUCUGUGUAUCAUCUUGGUAUCAAUGCCUCCACACAUCAGACGGAUAUCAUAUCCAGAAAUCAGGUUGAAUGCUCUGUUCAGUGGUUGAACGAGGCACUGAUGUUGUUUACCUUAGCCUUACAACGAUGUCAACAACUCAAAGAUAAGGUGACCCUUCUUGAGCAGAUUGGCAGUGGGUCAUGACACAAUUCACAUUCCGUAACAGGGAUCUCAGCGAGGAAAUACACAAAACAUUUCAUAUCUUACUCUAUGUGAUAUUUGUUAUCAAAGAUUAUAUUAAAAACUUGUGUUAAUAACAAAA